CCUACGGGGGGCAGCAGUGGGGAAUAUUGCACAAUGGGCGCAAGCCUGAUGCAGCCAUGCCGCGUGUGUGAAGAAGGCCUUCGGGUUGUAAAGCACUUUCAGCGGGGAGGAAGGCGGUGAGGUUAAUAACCUCAUCGAUUGACGUUACCCGCAGAAGAAGCACCGGCUAACUCCAUGCCAGCAGCCGCGGUAAUACGGAGGGUGCAAGCGUUAAUCGGAAUUACUGGGCGUAAAGCGCACGUAGGCGGUCUGUCAAGUCGGAUGUGAAAUCCCCGGGCUCAACCUGGGAACUGCAUUCGAAACUGGCAGGCUAGAGUCUUGUAGAGGGGGGUAGAAUUCCAGGUGUAGCGGUGAAAUGCGUAGAGAUCUGGAGGAAUACCGGUGGCGAAGGCGGCCCCCUGGACAAAGACUGACGCUCAGGUGCGAAAGCGUGGGAAGCAAACAGGAUUAGAUACCCUAGUAGUC
rnacentral:rRNA from 1 species